ensembl:snRNA U6 U6 spliceosomal RNA
GUGCUCUCUUGGGCAGCACAUAUACUAAAAUUGGAACAAUACAGAAAAGAUUAGCAAGGCCCCUGUGCAAGGAUGACAGGCAAAUCCGUGAAGCAUUCCAUGGAAAC